AAUAAAAUAAGCUAAUUUAAGCUAUUGGGUUCAUACCCCACUUAUGAAAUAUUUCUUUUAUUA
rnacentral:tRNA from 1 species